rnacentral:rRNA from 1 species
UACGGGGGGGGCAAGCGUUGUUCGGAAUUACUGGGCGUAAAGGGCUCGUAGGUGGCCAACUAAGUCAGACGUGAAAUCCCUCGGCUUAACCGGGGAACUGCGUCUGAUACUGGAUGGCUUGAGUUCGGGAGAGGGAUGCGGAAUUCCAGGUGUAGCGGUGAAAUGCGUAGAUAUCUGGAGGAACACCGGUGGCGAAGGCGGCAUCCUGGACCGACACUGACGCUCAUACACGAAAGCGUGGGGAGCAAACAGG